rnacentral:misc_RNA from 1 species
GAAAUGCGAUAAGUAAUGUGAAUUGCAGAAUUCCGUGAAUCAUCGAAUCUUUGAACGCACAUUGCGCCCUCUGGUAUUCCGGGGGGCAUGCCUGUCCGAGCGUCAUCGCGAACCCCUCAAGCACGGCUUGUGUGAUGGGCCCUCCCGCGUCUUGAUCGUCAAGACGGGCCCGAAAUGCAGUGGCGGCUUCGCGGUUAUCCGAUCAGCCAGAGCGUAUGGGGACUCUCUCUCUGUCACACGCCCGCGGCGCGGACCGACGCCUGUCGACCUUUAUUCAUCUUUUCUCGGUUGACCUCGGAUCAGGUAGGGAUACCCGCUGAACUUAAGC